rnacentral:rRNA from 1 species
AUUGAACGCUGGCGGCACGCCUUACACAUGCAAGUCGAACGGUAACGGGCCUUCGGGUGCCGACGAGUGGCGAACGGGUGAGUAAUGCAUCGGAACGUACCUUUCAGUGGGGGAUAACGUAGCGAAAGUUACGCUAAUACCGCAUAUUCUGUGAGCAGGAAAGCAGGGGAUCGCAAGACCUUGCGCUGAUUGAGCGGCCGAUGUCAGAUUAGCUAGUUGGUGAGGUAAAGGCUCACCAAGGCGACGAUCUGUAGCGGGUCUGAGAGGAUGAUCCGCCACACUGGAACUGAGACACGGGCCAGACUCCUACGGGAGGCAGCAGUGGGGAAUUUUGGACAAUGGGGGCAACCCUGAUCCAGCCAUGCCGCGUGAGUGAAGAAGGCCUUCGGGUUGUAAAGCUCUUUCGGCCGGGAAGAAAUCGCACGGGCUAAUACCCUGUGUGGAUGACGGUACCGGAAUAAGAAGCACCGGCUAACUACGUGCCAGCCGCCGCGGUAAGAC